rnacentral:rRNA from 1 species
UACGGAGGGUGCGAGCGCUAUCCGGAAUUACUGGGUUUAAAGGGUGCGGAGGCGGCUUGGUAAGUCAGGAGUGAAACUUUGCAGCUCAACUGUAAAAUUGCUUUUGAUACUGCCGAGCUGGAAUCAGGAUGAGGUCAGCGGAAUGUGGCAUGUAGCGGUGAAAUGCAUAGAUAUGCCAUAGAACACCAAUUGCGAAGGCAGCUGGCUAGAACUGUAUUGGCGCUGAGGCACGAAAGCGUGGGGAGAGAACAGG